rnacentral:tRNA from 2 species
GCCCCUGUCGUAUAAGGGAUAGUACAAUACCCUUCUAAGGUUUUAAUUGCGGUUCGAGUCCGUACAGGGGUGCCA